rnacentral:rRNA from 1 species
UACAGAGGUCUCAACCGUUGUUCGGAUUCAUUGGGCGUAAAGGGUGCGUAGGCGGUUGUGCAAGUCGGAUGUGAAAUCUCAGGGCUCAACCCUGAAACUGCAUUCGAUACUGCGCGGCUAGAGUGCUGGAGGGGAGACUGGAAUUUACGGUGUAGCAGUGAAAUGCGUAGAUAUCGUAAGGAAGACCAGUGGCGAAGGCGAGUCUCUGGACAGCAACUGACGCUGAGGCACGAAGGCCAGGGGGAGCAAACGGG